rnacentral:rRNA from 1 species
AAUUUCAAUAAUAACCUUGACCCCUUAAUUAAAAUCGAGUAAUUCUAUAUGAUUAUAGAACAUAUUAUGUUAAAACUAGUAACAAGAAGACAACCCUUCUCUAAAAUGUAGGUGUAAGCCAGAAAGGAUAAACCACUGUCAAUUAACACAAAUGAUACCAAAUUAGCAACACCACAAGAAAACCCUAAUUUGAAUAGUGUUAAACUAACACAAGAGCAUUACAGGAAAGAUUAAAAGAAGGAGAAGGAACUCGGCAAAUAAUAGCCCCGCCUGUUUACCAAAAACAUCGCCUCUUGAUUAAAUAUAAGAGGUCCAGCCUGCCCAGUGACCUAGUUCAACGGCCGCGGUAUCCUAACCGUGCGAAGGUAGCGUAAUCACUUGUUCUUUAAAUGGGGACUAGUAUGAACGGCAUCACGAGGGUUAAACUGUCUCCUCUUUCUAAUCAGUGAAACUAAUCUCCCCGUGAAGAAGCGGGGAUUACACUAUAAGACGAGAAGACCCUGCGGAGCUUAAAACAAAUUAACACCUGCUUCUACCUAGUUUUCUUCCUGAAUAAACACAUAAAUUUAGCAUCACUGAUUAAUAGUUUUAGACUGGGGUGAUCAUGGAGCAAAAAACAACCUCCACGACGAAAAGGAGUACCCCCUGAGCCAAAAGCCACAACUUUAAGCACUAAAAAAUUAACGUACCUUGACCCAAUUUUUUGAUCAACGAACCAAGUUACCCCAGGGAUAACAGCGCAAUCCACUUCAAGAGCCCUUAUCGACAAGUGGGCUUACGACCUCGAUGUUGGAUCAGGGUAUCCCAGUGGUGCAGCCGCUACUAAA